ACUCAAUAGAUACCCAGGUAGUCCAUGCCGUAAACGUUGGGCACUAGGUGUGGGGGACAUUCCACGUUUUCCGCGCCGUAGCUAAACGCAUUAAGUGCCCCGCCUGGGGAGUACGGCCGCAAGGCUAAAACUCAAAGGAAUUGACGGGGGCCCGCACAAGCGGCGGAGCAUGCGGAUUAAAUUCGAUGCAACGCGAAGAACCUUACCAAGGCUUGACAUGAACCAGACCGGGCUGGAAACAGUCCUUCCCCUUGUGGGUUGGUUUACAGGUGGUGCAUGGUUGUCGUCAGCUCGUGUCGUGAGAUGUUGGGUUAAGUCCCGCAACGAGCGCAACCCUCGUUCUAUGUUGCCAGCACGUGAUGGUGGGGACUCAUAGGAGACUGCCGGGGUCAACUCGGAGGAAGGUGGGGACGACGUCAAAUCAUCAUGCCCCUUAUGUCUUGGGCUUCACGCAUGCUACAAUGGCCGGUACAAAGGGUUGCGAUACUGUGAGGUGGAGCUAAUCCCAAAAAGCCGGUCUCAGUUCGGAUUGGGGUCUGCAA
rnacentral:rRNA from 1 species